rnacentral:rRNA from 1 species
UACGGAGGGGGCUAGCGUUGCUCGGAAUUACUGGGCGUAAAGGGCGCGUAGGCGGAUUGCAUAGUUGGGCGUGAAAGCCCCGGGCUCAACCUGGGAACUGCGCUCAAUACUUGCAGUCUAGAGUUCCGGAGAGGGUGGUGGAAUUCCCAGUGUAGAGGUGAAAUUCGUAGAUAUUGGGAAGAACACCAGUGGCGAAGGCGGCCACCUGGACGGACACUGACGCUGAGGCGCGAAAGCGUGGGGAGCAAACAGGAUUAGAUACCCUGGUAGUCCACGCCGUAAACGAUGUGUGCUAGACGUCGGGCAGCUUGCUGUUCGGUGUCGCAGCUAACGCACUAAGCACACCGCCUGGGGAGUACGGCCGCAAGGUUA